rnacentral:rRNA from 1 species
UGCGUAGGCGGAUUAAUAAGUCAGUGGUGAAAUCUUUCGGCUCAACCGAGAAACUGCCAUUGAUACUGUUAAUCUUGGGUUCGGUUGAGGUAGGCGGAAUGUGUAAUGUAGCGGUGAAAUGCUUAGAUAUUACACAGAACACCAAUUGCGUAGGCAGCUUACUAGACCGACACUGACGCUGAGGCACGAAAGCGUGGGGAGCGAACAGGAUUAGAUACCCUGGUAGUCC